AAUUCCUGAUUUUGUAUUCUGGAGCAAGGUUCAAUAUCUUAUUUCUGGUUUCGUCUUCAGUAGCUGUCAUUGAAGCUUUGUUGUAAUUAGUUAUCCCUCGAAUUAUUAUUGAAUUUUGUUUGGAAUAAGCAUAUAAGUUUUUUCACUUAACUGUUUUCAGUUAAAUCUGACCUAAAUAGAAUAACAAGACAAAUGGAUUUUGCUUACUCUACUAUUACAAUAUGAACAGGAAGACCCUGGAUCCAUGUGAAAUCCAAAAUAGAGAAGGAAUAUCCCACUGUGCAGUAUACAUCAUGGACAGUACGUGAUAUAAUCUCAUUUUACCUUUCGUGCUUAAAAGUUGUCGCCCUGUGAUCGAGUAAGGAGGAAAAAAAUGUGACUAUUAUAUUGGAUGAAUAAUUUGCAGUUCUGGCCAGUUGUUGGAUGGGUAAAUCACCAAUAUGUACCACUUCAGUUCCGGGUUAUAGUCCAAAGUGUUGUUGCAUGUUUCUGGUAUGUUGUUUUCUCCCACUUGGAAUUUUUCACGUUACAUUCUAGAGAACAAGUUUAUCCUUGAUUUCACUUCUAUUACGACUAGAGUAACUUUGGAUUUGCAAUAUCAGUUUUUAUUUCAUUCCUUUCAUUGAUUUUCCAGGGGAAUAUUUUUGAACCUGCGAGCAAGGUCUAUGCCGCUAAAAAAAGGUUAAUGAAGUCGUGAGAAAGGAAUUUGCAACAAGUACGAUUAUGUAGUCUCUGGACACUUGACUUUGCCUCUCUUAACUUGUAUUUUUCUUGAGCAGUUUAGACGUAAAAUCUGAAUGUCGAUGCUAUUGCGUAUCUGUAAGCACUUUAUUAUGCCGAACUAUUUAUUUAUCCAAGCUGUGGUAGUAAUGGCUUUUUCGAGAAUAGUCUUUUUUAUUUUUUGCCUCAGAAAAGAAAUGGUCCUAUAAUUUGCAAUAGUUUGGCCUUCAGGGAUUGAAUUUAUGUCCUGAUGAUAUUCAAUUUGUCACUGUCCAUGAUGUGAAAAGGGUAAAACCAAUAAAGUUACUUUUAAGCAACUUAUUUCGUCG
rnacentral:lncRNA from 1 species